rnacentral:rRNA from 1 species
AGCGAACGCUGGCGGCAGGCCUAACACAUGCAAGUCGAACGAACUCUUCGGUGUUAGUGGCGGACGGGUGCGUAACACGUGGUAACGUGCCGUUUGGUUCGGGAUAACUCAGGGAAACUUGUGCUAAUACCGAAUGUGCCCUCCGGGGGAAAGGGUUAUUGCCGUUAGAGGGGGCCGACCCGGAUUAGCUAGUUGGUGAGGUAACGGCUCACCAAGGCGACGAUCAGUAGCUGGUCUGAGAGGAUGACCAGCGACACUGGGACUGAGACGCGGCGCAGACUCCUACGGGAUGCAGGAGUGGGGAAUCUUGCGCAAUGGGGGAAAGGCUGACGCAGCCAUGCCGCGUGAAUGAUGAAGGUCUUAGGAUUGUAAAAUUCUUUCACCGGGGACGAUAAUGACGGUACCCGGAGAAGAAGCCCCGGCUAACUUCGUG